CAGCAUCAAAUCGUCUCUGGAUUUCCUCAAAAUAUUGACGAUAAAGCUCUUCUCUUCGCCGUUCCUCACGUUUCAAACGCUCUGCAAGAUAAUACCAAGGAAAACUGAAACAUGGACUGUACCUUUCUAUGAAAGUCAUGCAGGAAGGUGGGAAAUACAGUCUCACUUGGAAGCCACAUCCGCAUAAGGGCUUGUUCCAAGACCUAGAUGGCCAAGGUGUUGAGCUAACAUGGAAAAUGAGAACCGAGGUACAACUAGAAUCAUGGUCCAGUCUUUGAGGAAGAAACACACAGUCGACAUUAUCCAGAGACCAUAAGCAUCAUGGGGACAAGAGGGCAGAAUUUUAUCAGUGGAAUCAGUAUCUUCAUAGUGACCAAAUCCAUACUCCUGGUAAGCUACCCAUUUCAAAUACAUAUAUUAGAGCUCCUUAGAAAUUGGAUAUACAUAUCUCCUUUCAAAACAUUUAGCAACCACAACUUCCAAUGGAACCCUGUAUUUCUGACCAUUAGAUAUGAACUUUUAGUCACCUAUAUUCCAUGUUUAUUACUGGGGCAAUGAGGAGCAACACAGAAAGGACUGCUCAACAUCUGCAGCACAGUUAGAUUCAGCACAAUGGAAGCAGACAAUAUACGGAAUUGCUGAAGUUCUACAGGAUUCAUUUAUGUUCUUUAGGAUACUCAAACAUACACAUAAGAUCAAUGAAGACAGUAUUUACCUGCAAGCUGCACGCAUUCCUUAUGGUGUUAGAACAAACAGUACCAAUGUAUACACUCAAUUCUGCAGUGAAACCAAUGGAUGACCAGGGCACCCACUAACAGCUGUAGUAUAGCUACAGUUGUGGUGUCAGAUUCAACUCUUCGUGCAGGCA